AAAGUCGGUGACAAAGGUCCAGUCGGGUUUCCAGGACCACCUGGCCCUGAGGGCUUCCCAGGUGACAUUGGCCCACCAGGAGAAAAUGGUCCUGAAGGCCUGAAGGGAAAGCCAGGAGCAAGAGGUUUACCUGGGCCAAGAGGACUGCCUGGACAAGAGGUGAGUGUCCUCAGACCAAAAGUAAAUUGGUUUUAAAGUAUAAUGUUGAAUUUUAAAGAUUAAUAUAUGCUGAAAUGGUG
rnacentral:lncRNA from 1 species